CUUAAUUUAAUAGUAAAUUAUACAAGUAAUGUAAAUACAGAACACACAAAAUGAUAUAACCCUUAAAAUUUAACUGAAAAUGUUACGCUGGCGGUACAACCUCCCAAAGGUUCAUAAUCACAACAGAUAAUUCUUUGAAAAUGUUACGCUGGCGGUACAAACUCUCAGAGGAUCAUAAACACAAUGACAGAUAAUUGUUUAAAAAUGUUACGCCGGCGGUACAAACUUCCAGAAAUGCAUAAUCACACAGAAAAAAUCACACUGAAAAAAAGGAAGGUAAACCACUUUUAAAUGUAUAAGUUCUUAAAUUAUUAGCAAAUUAUAAAACAAGUCAUAACAAGGGCUGUUUGUAAAACAUGCAUGCCCCCCAUAUGGGCUCUCCGUUGUAGUGACAGCCAUUGUGUGAAUAUGUUUUUUGUAACUGUGACCUUGACCUUUGACCUAGUGACCUGAAAAUCAAUAGGGGUCAUUUGCAAGUCAUGAUCAAUGUACUUAUGAAGUUUCAUGAUCCUAGCCAUAAGCGUUCUUGAUUUAUCAUCCGGACACCAUUUUACUAUUUCGGGUCA